rnacentral:rRNA from 1 species
AGAGUUUGAUCCUGGCUCAGGACGAACGCUGGCGGCGUGCUUAACACAUGCAAGUCGAGCGGGGAUCCCCGAAGUUUUCGGAUGGAGGGGAUUCCAGCGGCGGACGGGUGAGUAACGCGUGAGCAACCUGUCCCGGAAUGGGGGAUAACAGAUGGAAACAUCUGCUAAUACCGCAUAAGACCACGAGGUCACAUGGCCUUGGGGUAAAAGGCGCAAGCCGAUUCGGGGUGAGCUCGCGUCCGAUUAGCUGGUUGGCGGGGUAAGAGCCCACCAAGGCGACGAUCGGUAGCCGACCUGAGAGGGUGAUCGGCCACACUGGAACUGAGAAACGGUCCAGACUCCUACGGGAGGCAGCAGUGGGGAAUAUUGGGCAAUGGGGGAAACCCUGACCCAGCAACGCCGCGUGAGGGAAGAAGGUUUUCGGAUUGUAAACCUCUGUCCUUGGUGAAGAAAAGAAUGACGGUAGCCAAGGAGGAAGCCCCGGCUAACUACGUGCCAGCAGCCGCGGUAAUACGUAGGGGGCGAGCGUUGUCCGGAAUGACUGGGCGUAAAGGGCGUGUAGGCGGCCGAUUAAGUCCGGAGUGAAAGUCCUGCUUUCAAGGUGGGAAUUGCUUUGGAAACUGGUAGGCUUGAGUGCGGAAGAGGUAAGUGGAAUUCCCAGUGUAGCGGUGAAAUGCGUAGAGAUUGGGAGGAACACCAGUGGCGAAGGCGACUUACUGGGCCGUAACUGACGCUGAGGCGCGAAAGCGUGGGGAGCGAACAGGAUUAGAUACCCUGGUAGUCCACGCGGUAAACGAUGAAUGCUAGGUGUAGGGGGUAUCGACCCCUCCUGUGCCGGAGUAAACACAAUAAGCAUUCCGCCUGGGGAGUACGGCCGCAAGGUUGAAACUCAAAGGAAUUG